ACGCGAAGAACCUUACCUACCCUUGACAUGUCUGGAAGUCUGCAGAGAUGCGGAUGUGCCUUCGGGAACCAGAACACAGGUGCUGCAUGGCUGUCGUCAGCUCGUGUCGUGAGAUGUUGGGUUAAGUCCCGCAACGGGCGCAACCCUUAUCACUAGUUGCUACGCAAGGGCACUCUAGUGAGACUGCCGGUGACAAACCGGAGGAAGGUGGGGAUGACGUCAAGUCCUCAUGGCCCUUAUGGGUAGGGCUUCACACGUCAUACAAUGGUACAUACAGAGGGCCGCCAACCCGCGAGGGGGAGCUAAUCCCAGAAAGUGUAUCGUAGUCCGGAUUGUAGUCUGCAACUCGACUACAUGAAGUUGGAAUCGCUAGUAAUC
rnacentral:rRNA from 1 species